rnacentral:rRNA from 1 species
UACGUAGGUGGCGAGCGUUGUCCGGAUUUACUGGGCGUAAAGGGCGCGUAGGCGGCCUGUUAAGUCGAACGUGAAAUCCCCGGGCUCAACCCGGGAACUGCGUCCGAUACUGGCAGGCUUGAAUUCGGGAGAGGGAUGCGGAAUUCCAGGUGUAGCGGUGAAAUGCGUAGAUAUCUGGAGGAACACCGGUGGCGAAGGCGGCAUCCUGGACCGAGAUUGACGCUGAUGCGCGAAAGCCAGGGGAGCAAACGGGG